AGCGAAAUAGCUCAGUGGUAGAGUACAUGCUUGGCAUGCAUGAGGUCCUGGGUUCAAUCCCCAGUACCUCCA
rnacentral:tRNA from 1 species